rnacentral:misc_RNA from 1 species
GAAAUGCGAUAAGUAAUGUGAAUUGCAGAAUUCAGUGAAUCAUCGAGUCUUUGAACGCACAUUGCGCCCAUUAGUAUUCUAAUGGGCAUGCCUGUUCGAGCGUCAUUUCAACCCUCAAGCCUUAGUUGCUUGGUGUUGGGAGCUUAUCCUGCCGCAAGGCGGGACAACUCCUUAAAUUUAUUGGCGGAGUCGCGGUGACCCCAAGCGCAGUAAUUCCUUUUCUCGCUUUAGGUGUUAACGCUGGCUUCUAGCCAUUAAACCCCCUAAUUUUCUAAUGGUUGACCUCGGAUCAGGUAGGACUACCCGCUGAACUUAAGC